rnacentral:misc_RNA from 1 species
GAAGUGCGAUAAGCAAUGCGAAUUGCAGAACCGUGAGUCAUCAGAUUUUUGAACGCAACUGGCGCUGAAUGGAAACCCAUUCAGCAUGCUUGUUUCAGUGUCUUUUUUUCUCAUCACCCAGAUCAUAAUGCGAGAGAUACCCUUCUCUUGUUAAACAUGAAAGCACUCUGCGCUCUGCGAGCGGCUUCGACUUGUUCGAUGGUCGCACUCAAUGCAGCAGUCACAUUGCUCACAAUGUGAACUCAUUGAGAGCCGAGGCAGUGCGGCGAAAGCUGCCAGUGCUUAGUCACUCAAACUUUACUUGCAUCUGAAAUCAAGCAGGAUCACCCGCUGAACUUAA